rnacentral:lncRNA from 1 species
ACCUACAAAACAGAAACAGAUCAUGGACAUGGAGAACAGACUUGUGUUUCCCAGGGGGGUUAGGGGAGGGAGUGGGAUGGAUUGGGAGUUUUGGGGUUAGUAGAUGAAAACUGUUGUAUUUAGAGUGGAUGGGCAAUGGGAUCCUGCUGUGUAGCCCAGGGGACUCUAUCCAAUCACUGGUGAUGGAUCAGGAUGAAGGAUAAUGUGAGAAAAAGAAUGUAUGUAUGUGUACAACAGGAAUACUUUGCUGUGCAGCAGAAACUGGCAGAAUAUUGUAAAUCAAUUAUAAUAAAAAAUAAAAGCCUUUUAGGUAAUUUAUCGAGCAGCUAGAGUCAAGAAUGACUGAUCUAAAUGCUGAAGAGAUGCCCUUUCAGCCUCUAUCCAAGACCUCUCUUCUGGCUCCACUGAAUCUACUUGGCAUUUUCACUUGAUUGCCCUAGGAAUUUUAACAUGUCCAGUCCCGAAAGCUUGAUUUCUCAACUCCUCUCCUCUGUUUGUACAUUUCUCCCAUAAUCUUCAUCAUUUUAGCAAAUAGCAUCAUUUUUCUUCCCGCUGCUCAAGCCAAAGACCUGGGAGUUGCCUUCGAUCCCAUCCCUUUUCCUUAUCAUUUUUUUUUUUUCAAUCCAUCAGUAGAUGCUGGCGACCCUACCUCCAAAAUUCACCCAGACCUCCCUUUUAUCUUGCCACUGUCUGAGCUAAAGUCACCACCAUUAUCUCUUUCCUGGAUUACUUCCUGCAGUGAUUCACCCCAACCCCCUGCUCCCGUCUUCAUCCUUGCUCCUCUCCUGAGCACUGUCUACAGAGUGGCCAGAGAUACCAUCCAAUCUGAAAUGAAGUCAGGUCAUUUCAUCUCCCCUCAAUGGUUUCCCAAGGAUAACACACAUUGUUCUGCCUUUUCAGGGUCCCGCAUCUCUCUCCAGACUCUCUUCUGUCCGUUCUCCCAUCUCACUCAUUUUGCUUCAGCUGCACUGGACUUUUUCUCAUUCCCAGAACACGUUCAAACCCAUCUCCCCACAUCAGAGCCCUUUGCUAUUUUUUUUGCUUGGAUCAUUCUUGCAUCGGUUUUUAUAGACUCCUUACUCUUCAUGUCUCAGCACGUCAAAUAUCACCUUGCUGAUUAUCCUUAUUUACGGCCAAUCUCCCAUAUUCUUUAUUUCAUUUAUUAUUGUCUUGCUUGAUGACUUUUUUCCCCCUCCUUCAACUGAUUAGAUUACAAACUCUGUGAGGGCAGGGACCAUGGUUCUCUUGCCAGAUUUAGCAAAACAUACAACACAAAAGACUAAACAGGAAUGAUGUUAAACUUAUAUAUCAAUUUGGGGAGAGUUGACGUCUUUAGUACAGUCUUCUAAUUCAUGAACAUGGUGCAUCUGUUUAGUUAGAUGUGUGAUCUCGUAAUGUUUGGCACAUACUUCUUGUGUGCAUUUUGUCAGACUUACACCUAACCAUUUCAUCUAUUUUAGCAAUUGGAAAUGGUAUUUUUAAUUUUUGUGUCCAUGUGUUUAGUGUUAAUGUAUAGAAAUGCAGUUGAUUUUGUAUGUUUAUCUUAUAUCCCAGCACUUUGCUGAACUCAUUUGUUCUGUUUGUAUUUUGUAGAUUCCUUGGAAUUUCUGUGUAGAAUAGCAUGUCAUCUGCAAAUAUGGUGCACUUUAUUUCUCUCUUUUUUAAAAUCAGUAUGCUCUUUCUUUUCUUUUCUUUUCCUUUCUCACUUUAUUGUACUUCCAGAACUAUGUUAAAUACAGUGAUGAGAAUGGAUGUCCCUUCCUGGUUCACAACUAGUCCAUCCUCCCCCGCCCCAUUUUUUUAUUGGAGUGUGGUUGAUUUACAGUGUUGUGUCACUGCCUUCUGUACAGAAUAGUGACCCAAUCAUACAUAUAUACACAUUCUUUUUCUCAUACCAUCUUCCAUGAUGUUCCAUCCCAAGAGACCGGGACAUAUAGUUCACGUUUUUAAACACAAAUUUGCAUGAUGCCAUGGUGAAGGAGAGCUUGGGUGUUAAUCUAACCCAUAGUCACACAGAUCCUGCAUACUAUCUACGUGAUCUUAGAAAAUGGCUUUGUCUCUCCCCAUGUUUUCUCAUCUCUGGAAUUUGAGAUAAUAAAUCUAUGCCACAGGUUUGUUAGAAAGCAGGCAAAAGGCAGAGAUUACAGGCUAGCUUUCCUAGGCUCAGAUUCCAGCACAAACACUCUCAGCUCUGUGACCUCAGACAAUGUUUCCUCUGUACCUCAAUUUCCUCUUCUGUUAAACAGGCAGACUUAUGAUUAACCACUUCAUCAAGUUGUUGCAGAGACGGAAUGAGGUGAUAAAUGUAAAGCACUUCCUAUCUGGCAGUGAGCAAUAGAGAAGCGUUUGUUGUUUUUGUGACGUUUAUGUGAAAUAAUGUGCGUAUAACACUUAGCAGAAGGCAGAUGCUUGGUAAAACUUCCUGACUCUAAGUCCCGUGCUAACUAAAAAUAACUAGAUUGCAUGGAGAGCUUGUAGUGAGAAACAACAGUCUCUCCUUUCCUGGUCUCUGGAGGCAGCCAUUUUUACCUCGUUUGAGUUGUUUUCCAAACGAUAGGCUACUUUUUGCACUGCUUGAGGUAUCCGCUUGAGAUUUUAUCUAUUUACAUCCUGAA